AUGCAAAUGCUUGCAUCCCAUGCUUAUUAUAUGUACAUACACAGGUAUGCAGCAGCCUUGCAACUGAAUGAAAAGAGCGACGUAUAUAGCUUCGGUGUCGUGUUACUAGAGGUAAUCACAGGACAACCCACCAUCCUUGAAUCUACGGAGGUCAUCCAUAUCGUCCAAUGGGCACGACUUCACCUUUCGGGAGGCAACAUUGAGGAGGUGGUGGACGGCCGAAUGCAAGGCGACUUCAAUGUGAAUGGCAUGUGGAAGGCCGUGGACCUAGCGCUGAAGUGCACCGAGCAUGACCCCGCACAACGACCCACAAUGACGGAUGUGGCUGCCCAGUUGCAAUACUGCCUCGAGUUGGAGAACGAAGAUCAAAACAGAGGCGAUGCUAACAAUAACUUCCACAUAAUGAAAGAUAGCAGUCGUGACCGUGAUCUACCGAUGAUGUAA
rnacentral:rRNA from 1 species